rnacentral:rRNA from 1 species
AUUGAACGCUGGCGGCAGGCCUAACACAUGCAAGUCGAGCGGAUGACAGGAGCUUGCUCCUGAAUUCAGCGGCGGACGGGUGAGUAAUGCCUAGGAAUCUGCCUGGUAGUGGGGGACAAC